GCUCCCGUAGUUCAAUGGAUAGAACAGUCCCGUCCUAAGGGAUAGAUGUAGGUUCGAUUCCUGCCAGGAGCA
rnacentral:tRNA from 1 species